UUCUUAUCAAGAGAGGUGGAGGGACUGGCCCUUUGAAGCCUCGGCAGCAGACUUUUUAUAGUACUGUGCCAAUUCCAGUAGCAUGAUGCUAGAAGAUAAGAG
rfam:Bacillus vireti LMG 21834 contig33, whole genome shotgun sequence.